rnacentral:rRNA from 1 species
AGCGAACGCUGGCGGCAGGCUUAACACAUGCAAGUCGAACGGGCUUCUUCGGACGUCAGUGGCAGACGGGUGAGUAACACGUGGGAACGUGCCCUUCGGUUCGGAAUAACUCAGGGAAACUUGAGCUAAUACCGGAUACGCCCUUUUGGGGAAAGGUUUACUGCCGAAGGAUCGGCCCGCGUCUGAUUAGCUUGUUGGUGGGGUAACGGCCUACCAAGGCGACGAUCAGUAGCUGGUCUGAGAGGAUGAUCAGCCACACUGGGACUGAGACACGGCCCAGACUCCUACGGGAGGCAGCAGUGGGGAAUAUUGGACAAUGGGCGCAAGCCUGAUCCAGCCAUGCCGCGUGAGUGAUGAAGGCCUUAGGGUUGUAAAGCUCUUUUGUCCGGGACGAUAAUGACGGUACCGGAAGAAUAAGCCCCGGCUAACUUCGUG